AGCAUAUCAAUAAGCGGAGGAAAAGAAACUAACAAGGAUUCCCCUAGUAACUGCGAGUGAAGCGGGAAAAGCUCAAAUUUAAAAUCUGGCGGUCUCUGGCCGUCCGAGUUGUAAUUUAGAGAAGCGUCUUCCGCGCCGGGCCGUGCACAAGUCUCCUGGAAUGGAGCGUCAUAGAGGGUGAGAAUCCCGUCUUUGGCACGGAUGCCUGUGCUUCUGUGAUGCGCUCUCGAAGAGUCGAGUUGUUUGGGAAUGCAGCUCAAAAUGGGUGGUGAACUCCAUCUAAAGCUAAAUAUUGGCGAGAGACCGAUAGCGAACAAGUACCGUGAGGGAAAGAUGAAAAGCACUUUGGAAAGAGAGUGAAACAGUACGUGAAAUUGUUGAAAGGGAAACGCUUGAAGUCAGUCGCGUCGACCGAGACUCAGCCUUGCCUUGGCUUGGUGUACUUCUCGGCCCGACGGGUCAGCGUCAAUUUUGCCCCUCGGAUAAUGGCAAGGGAAAGGUGGCACCUUCGCGGGUGUGUUAUAGUCUCCUGUCGCAUGCGAGGGGUGGGAUUGAGGAACUCAGCGCGCACCUUGGUGUCGGGGCUUCGGCCCACGUCACGCGCUUAGGAUGCUGGCGUAAUGGCUUUAAACGACCCGUCUUG
rnacentral:rRNA from 1 species